CUUUCGACACCACUCCACGCACGACGCCUCCUUCACAGUCCUCCGGCUCUUCUUUUCCGAAAGGAAUGUCUUUCAUAGACCCCUCGACAAGGGCUGGGAGGCCCCAGUACGCCGCUCGCGACUCUGCAACAGGGCUUCGUGCUUGCUGUAAUUGGAUCCACUGGGACCUCGAGUCGUCAGUAUCAGACGACCCAGUCCGGCUGAGGGAAGACGGGUCGGAACUUAACCCUAAGCAUCACCUUGGUUUUCAGUUUGCGCCCACGGCCGUUCAAGUCGCCUUGUAUGUCUGCUAUGCUCGUCUGCGGAGACUGCCACUGAAAAGUGGCGUCUUUGUCCGGGGCUAUGUAGGCGGACCGGCGAGGAGAGCACUCCAGUCAUCAUCACCUGAUGCGCGAGAAGUUGGCUCUAUGAGUCUGUACGGUGAGAGCCUCUGGUCCGAGGCCGCUCGUCAG
rnacentral:telomerase_RNA from 1 species